CCACCAUCGGGAGAAAUGAACGGUCAUCAACACAAUCCUCUGAGCGCUCAUCAUGUGAUCUUUCUAAAUGUCCACGGAAACAGUUGACUGAAGUUUGACAGCUCUUCUGCCAGUUUUAAUUUGGAAAAACGUACCCAGAGGAAGCAGUGCUGGAUACUUGCCUGGAUUACUGAGUCUUUUUCUGUGGCAAUAGAAUAGAUCUAUUGCACAUGACCACAUUUGAAGCCAGUCCUGAUUCGUGAGUCAGAAGAGGAGAGGCUGGGCUGAUGGUAAGCUCUCUUACAAACUAUCUAACCUUCUCUAUUGCUCUCAUCCUCACUCUGUCGUUUCAUGUUGAUAAACCCAAAGAGCUGUGUUCAGCACAAACUGACAUUUAAAAGCCGAGCACUUGGAGUGGCCCUCUAUAUUACAGGAUGUAGCCUUCUCAUGAAAUGAGAAGCAAAGUGGGGAGGCCGCUGUGGAUCGUGGAGCACCUUACUCAGUUGAGAAAUAGAUUGUAGUCACUCUCCAUUUAGAUCUUCAUUUAUGUUUAUUUUACGUUUAGUUUGUUGUGGUCUCUUUGUUAGCAUCUGAACAUUCUCAGUUACGUUGAUUAUUUAGUUCUGUAAGGAACACUUUCUGAAAUGUAAUAAUUCAAUGAUUUUAUACAUAAGGGCAAAAAUAAAGAAUGGACAUUAUCUGCACAUGUGCAGUAUAUCAGAUAUGAGCAUUUCAGAAACUGUACUUGUUUAUUUCGUAGAUUUUAUGUUUUUGCUUUUCUGGGUUGACACAGUCAUGACACGAAACACGCAGUAUAGC
ensembl:lncRNA